rnacentral:lncRNA from 10 species
GAAGCACUAGAAGCAAAAGUAUACUUUACUGACAUCUACAUACAUUAUUAUUAGACCUGUGAUGCUUUUCACACUUGCUGCAUUAUAUAUAAGCCUGCUGGUUAUUUACAUUUAAAAAAAUCCCCCACAGUGCCGCACAUAGUACUAUGGAUAUAAUGAUGUCUAAUAGAGCCUUUUGCUGUUGCUGUUUUUUGUGCUUGCUUUUGUUGUUGUUUUUUCUAAAAAUAAAAACAAAAACAAGAAAACUGUAACUAUAAUAUUUAUCAUUUUAAUUGAUGUGUAUAGUUUUACAAAAUCAAAUAGUAAUAGAAACAAAAUAGCAUCCCUUGUGCCUCCCCUCCCUAUUGCUCCCUGGUCUUAUACAGUCAUAAGAAGUCACAAGAAACCACGUACAAAUUGUUAAGCCAUUUCUUCUGCCAUUUACCUUCCAAUUCCUAAGGAGUAUGCAUGUGCUGUUAUUUAUUUUAGACAUUAUCUUUUUUCUCCCUGUCUUGACAGAUGUUAUCUAACUCAAGUGCACUUUGCUCUCCCUCCCCCAUUCCCCUGGUGUAAGCAUACCACACAGUCUUUGAGUUCACAUUAUUAUUUGUGUCAUAUAGAUACUGUUCACAUGAGCCAGGAAGAGUACAACUUUUUUCUUAAAUUAUCACCUCUCAAAAAAUAACUUUGUUGUCUACAUACGUGUCUUCCAAUGAGCCAGAAGACUCCCUAUGUCAGCAAAUCCACUGGUGCCAUGACUUCCCACUGAGCCCCCUGACUUCCUGUUCUGCACGGGCUUGUCUGCUUCCUGGACCUGCUGCACAACUUGCUCCGAGUCCUAUACUGGACAUCCUGCUUUUAAAUCCCAUGCCUUCCAUGCCAUUGGUUUACAAGUUUAUUUCCUGGGGUACUUCCUUCAGGAACGUUCAAGGAGACAGCAAAGAAGGUAAACUUUUGUGUGCUUGCAUGUCUCUAACUGUCUUUCAGUUGACUGAAAGUUUGCCAGAAUGUAGACUACUAAGGUUGAAAACUAUUUCUCUCUGAAUAGGGGGAUCAUUUUUCUUCAGUUUCCUAGAGCUGCUGCUGAAGGUCAGAUAUCAUUCUGGCCUCAGUGUCCUUAUGCAUGACCUGUCUGCUUCUCUGCAGAGCACCGUCUAACAGACACAGAACAGAAACCGUCUAUGUCAUCUAAAAUUUUCCAGGAGCCACCUUAAAAUAAAAAGAAACAACUGGAAGUAGUUGUAAUAAUAUGUUAUAUUUAGCCCAAUGUUUAAAAAAUAUAUUAUUUCGGCCAGGCGUGGUGGCUCAGGCCUGUAAUCCCAGCACUUUGGGAGGCCGAGGUGGGUAGAUCACGAGGUCAGGAGUUCAAGACCAGCCUGACCAAUAUGGUGAAACUCCGUCUCUACUAAAAAUACAAAAAUUAGCAGGGCAUAGUGGCGCAUGCCUGCAGUCCCAGCUACUCAGGAGGCUGAGGCAGGAGAAUUGCUUGAACCAGGGAGGUGGAGGUUGCAGUGAGCCAAGAUUGCGCUACUGCACUCCAGCCUGGGCCAUAGAGUGAGACUCCAU